rnacentral:rRNA from 1 species
UACGGGGGGAGCAAGCGUUGUUCGGAUUUACUGGGCGUAAAGGGCGCGUAGGCGGCCACUGCAAGUCAGUUGUGAAAUCUCCGGGCUUAACCCGGAAAGGUCAACUGAUACUGCAGGGCUAGAGUGCAGAAGGGGCAACUGGAAUUCUCGGUGUAGCGGUGAGAUGCGUAGAUAUCGAGAGGAACACCUGCGGCGAAGGCGGGUGCUGGGCUGACACUGACGCUGAGGAGCGAAAGCGUGGGGAGCGAACAGG